rnacentral:lncRNA from 1 species
CCUCAUAAACAUCUACAAUUAUUUGUUAAUAAAAAUAAUUUUAAGAAUAAAGAUGUAUGAGAUAAGCAACAUAAAAAUACGAUUUAUUUAUUUAUUUGGGGGGGUUGGUAUUGGCGAUCGAACUCAGGACCUUGUGCCUGCAAGGCAGGCACUGUGACACUGAGCUAAAUCCCCGGCUAUUUAUGUGUAUUUUUAAUGUAGCUAUAUAAAUUUGUGUUUGUUUUUGGUACCGGGGAUUGAACUCAGGUCCUUGAGCUUGCACAGCAGGCAGCGAAACCACUGAGCUAAAUCCCCAGCCCUAUAAAUGUUUUUUAAUUCCAUAAAAUUGCUGUCUCUUAUGUACAAACCCAUUCACAUUGUUCUUUAACUUUGUACAGAUACCCUCUCAGUUGCAUUAGAAGUCAGCCCAUACAGUUCUUCCCAAGGGUAGAUUUGGAAGGCGUAUUGAAAAGUUUCCUUUCAGAUUUAAAAUCUAAACUGCCUCAUAUAUGUGGAUUGCCCAUAAAGAUGACAAAUAAGCCAUGCUACUAUACAAAGGAACUAACCAAACCUCAUAUACAGGAAAACAAAGUCAAGCCACCCAACUUGACCACUAAAAAACUGUUCAGGGCAUCUGUGACACAAGCUAGUUCCAGAAAACCUGCUCCUAUUCCAAGUCUUCUCCCAUGUUCAGAAGUAGCAGACCACAAGGUGGAGCUUCCCAUCAGCAAGUCACAGUCCGGCAUUUCCUCAGUUCUACAUCACCAGCCAGAGUACAUUCUAGGUAGAAAGCAAUCUCUGUCUCACAAGGUACCACAACUACAAUUGGAAGAAUCAAAUCCCAACAGAGGAAAUACUCAAGUUUCAUACACAAAUCUUAGCUCCCAAAGUAAGAUCACCCCUAAAUUCAUACCAGUUUUCAAAAAGGGAUUGUCACCGAUGAACAAAAAUAUUUCAGUACUUGGCAACAGGAAAAGAAAACACCAUGUCAUAACGGAAUCAAAAUUGUAUUCACUUAAAACUAAUGUAAUCCAGGAUGACAAACUGAAUUUAGGUCCAACUAGUAAAAAAAGACCUAACAGUAACAUUCAGGUAUAUGAUAGAAAUUUAAAUCAAAAGGGCUCUAGACCUCUGCAAGAAAAAAAUACCGAAUGCUAUGAAAAUAUAAAAUAUCCCUCUCCUAAUGUGAGCUUAAAUGAAAGUAAACAGUUUUCUAACAGUAUGAUGUGUCAGGUGUCAAAUAACAGUUUAAGUGUGAUGAAAAAUGCUGUGGACUUCCAUGGAAAAGAAAAUCUAACAAGUAAAUGUAUAACACAGAUUUUAAGGAAAGGCUGUGAGUCAAUAAAACUGAAGAGGCAACCAUACAUUUUUGAACCAGACACAGAAACUGAAGAUCCCCAACUGCUACAACAGCCAGCAAACCAAACUAAAGAAGUUGAUCUAAGUGACCACAGGUUGGUAGUAAGCAGAACAGCCUACAGGUCUAAAAGAAAAGUAUGUCCUGAGUCUUCAAAAACUUCAAAGAAGCAUCAUUCCAAUACUAUGCAUUAUGAACAACCCAGUUCUUCUAGGAGACAGAGAUGUCCACCCUGAACCCUGACAAACACUCUUCCAGGUGUCUCAUGGUCAUUCCUAUGAAAAUGAAUCCAGCUUUACAUGCUGCUGUGGAACAUCCUUAUUCACUUUAAAAUUGUCUUCUUAAUGUUUGCAUAGUAUUCCAUUAUAAGUGGUAUACUGUAUUUAAUUCCCUAUUGAUUGAAACAAGUUGCUGCUGACUUUUCACUAUUAUAACAGUCAUGUAAAUAGACUUGUAUGGGUCUUUGUAGGGUAUCCAAUUAUAUAGUAUAGUUGAAAAUAUGUGACCCUUUGUAUUUUUAUUGUUGAAACUUAUUUGAAGUCAGUAUUUUUAUUGUCAAAAUUUUCAAACCACUCAAGGUACAGAUAAUAGUAUGAAAAACCCAGUGCCUAUUGCCCAGAUCUACCACUUUUACACACUUUUUCUGUGAUAUUUUAAAGCAAAUUCAAAACAUCAUAUAAUUUCAUUCAUGAAUACUCCAGUGUGUAUCUCAAACAUAUGAUAUAAUAUGUUUUUAAAGGUAAAAUAUGUGUAUGUAUUAAAUUUUGGGGGUGUCUAUCUCCAUUGGCUCACUAAAUUUCACUUUUAUUUUUAUAUGCAUACUAAUAGGAAGCCCUGAAUACAUAAAGCCUCUUUCACAACACAACUAGAGCCUUUUUACAGUAGAGAUUUCUGUGUUCAACAAUAUUCAUUCUGAUAAGUGCCAGACUUAUCUGGCACUGAGUCCAUUACCAAAACAAACAAGAUGUCCAGGGCCUGAGCCCCAGGGCUGGCAGUCCAGUCUAGCAAACCUUUCUGCUCCUGGCCCAGGUUUAAGGAUAUCUAUCUAUAUCUAUAUCUAUAUCUAUAUCUAUAUCUAUAUCUGUAUCUAUCUAUAUCUCCAGAAUAAAUAAGCCUUCUGGCCCAUAUUAUAAAUAAACUAACAUCUAGAAAAAAAGAGAGAAACACAAGUAGAGCUUUUCACUUAAUGAGUAUUUUUCUGACCUUAAACUUAUGACAUUUGUUUUAUAAAAUAUGAUAUAAUUGUUGUAAAAUUGUUGUAAGUGAUUUAAAAACCAAAAAUCUUCAUUGAACAUUUCAAUGAAGUAAUCCUUUAUUAAGUAAAAAGAAUCAAUAGAGAACUAAGUUGAAGUUGAACUUUGACCACUUAAAUGUGGUUUACUGUCUCUACCAAAUCACUAAACCAUUGCAGUAAAACCAUUGCAGUAAAUGUAACUUUUGCUCCUGAAAUUGUGCCUAGUCAAUUAAUUUGCUGUAUACCUUUAUUGUAAGCAUUUAUGUUUUCCAGAAUUAUUUCUGUUUCCCAAUUUUGCUCUUUUCAUAGGGACGUGUAUUUUGCUUAAUAUAUUUUGAAUGUGCCUUUCUCUUUUUGAAGCUGGUGUUAUGGAUAAGUAGUAGACUGUAGUAGAGUUAGACAUCAUUUCGUUUGUGAGGCCAUAGUGACAGUCUUUUUUUAUGAAAGUACUGUUCAUAAGUAUGUGUGUGUGGUCAGCAGAGUCAUGCACACACAUGAUCAUUCUUGCACCAGACUGCUUACUGCUCUUUGAAUUCCAGGCUUUUUCCUGCUGGUGUCCUUUCAUUAUGCCUUAGGCAAUGAAGAUGUAUAGUAUUAUUAACUAAGAAAAAUAGUUAAAAAGAUUACUCUAUUGUUGAAGUGUGUAUAGUAGCUCCAGUUCUUCAUGUAAAGAAUCCAGAAAGUCCUUCUUUCAUUAGUAUGUAAAAUUUAGAAUUUACAGUAUAUUUCAUGUAGAUAAAUGUUAACCUACGUGGCAAAACCUGCUAUAUUAAUAUCAGCCCAUGUUCUUGUGUAAAGUAGGUUUCUUUUUUGUCUUACUGUAUUCCAAUGACAGUUUAAUAUAUAUGCAUAUAUGUAUAUGUGAUUUAACAUAGAUUGUGGACUAAGUAUUCCAUGUACAGAGAAAAGUUUCUAGACCAAAUUUCUGGGCUCAGGAUCACCAAAGAAAUCAGGGAAGAUUUUGUCCAUUUCAAUGAUUGCAACUUCUGAAAGCAAAGAUAAUUCCAAAUUUGAUUAGAGAACACUAAACUUUACUUCUUUGUUUAUUGAGUUUUUGGUGACUUAUGUGGAGUGUGGACCCCUCUCCCCACAAACAACAAAAAAAAUCAGUCUUCGUAUUCCAAUUAUGCAUUGGCUUUUGAACAUUACAAUUUUAAAAGCAUAAAUAAAUGGUUUUAUGUUUGCCUAUUGCCAGAAGGUUAAGAAAUUAGCCAUACCAUUUUUUUAAAAAGCCUGUGGAAAUAGGCCAAAAUUAAUGCCAAGGAUUAUAUUUAUAGGCCAGGGAUUUAGCUCAGUGGUUCCGGUGCCUGCCUUGCAAGCACAAGGUCCCAAGUUUGAUCCCCAGUACCAAAAAAAAAAAAGAAUUAUAUUUAUAGGAAUGCAGAAGUGCUUCUCAUGUGCUAUUCAUAUAUUUUUACCAUAUUUGUUACUAUAUUUGUAUCUGUUUUUAUUUAUAUUUUUAUUAUAUUUUCAAUUAUUUACACAUUUUUAUUGUAUUUGUUGCUUAUGGUUGCAAAAGUUUAAAAAAUUUGAGAGUCUCAAUGAUUAGCUUUUAUUUGACUAACCAGUUUACUACUGAGUUUUUGCCCUCUUUUUUCAAAUUCCAUAUCAUCUGGUAUUAUGUUGACACUGCUAGUGUAUUCAAUAUUUAUUGAUAUUUAUGGAUGAUUAGUAUAAAGAUUUAAGAUGUUGUGAUCCUUAUGUAUUGAUGCUUAAAAUGUUCAUGUUUUAGUCACAUGUAUUAUUUUAAAUAAAAA